GGCGCGCCGCUACCCUCUCAUCGCUCUGGGGAGCCCUGGGCCGCGGUGCCCGGGGACUCCGGUGGCGGCCGGAUGCGCUUCCAUGGCGGACACCACACUUCUGAGGAGAGGGGGUGAGCACGGGGACACGCGACGGCCACAAGGCCCAGGUUGCAGCCCGCCAGAGGAUCCCUCGGCCCCCAGGGACGCCAGAUGUCAACGUCUCCUGGCGGCUGCCGCAGCGGCUUCUCCACUAUUUAGUUUUGAUAAUACAAAAGAGCAGUUUAUGAAUGAAAGUCUUUUGUAUGAUCUAAUACUUUUCUGACUAUUUAACUCUUCAACCAGGACCAUUACUUAAUUCUUCCAUGUUAUUAUGACAUAACAAACUAUAUGGGAGUUAAGGAGAAAGACUGGGCAGGACACCACACACUGCUGAACACUGUUUCCAGACCACCAUGGAGAGAGGACACUGGGAGAACAGGAGGAAUGGAAGAUCUCAUAAGGCCAUAGAUCAGCACCAAGGUCACAGCAGAAGAGGGAACAACAGGA